UCCUGGUUAGCUUAGUCGGUGUGGUACUCCACUGGAAAUGGAGAGGUCCCUGGAUCGAUACCAGGGCCAGGUA
rnacentral:tRNA from 1 species